rnacentral:lncRNA from 1 species
GGUAGAGAAGAGGAGAGAAAAUAGGGGUAAAUGAGUCUUUUAUCAACACAUGUGCUAAAAUUUAGCACCUCACCCAAACACCCUAAAGGGCUAAAAUUUAGCACUCUAUUUGGGAGGGCUAAAGUUUAGUCCAGGAUUAAAUUUUAGCACCUUCCUCCCAAACAGGACCUAAAUCAUGAAACAUGACAAUCAAAAAAUAAACGUUGGAUUGUUUCCUUGUUGUUGCAAAAACAACAUUCGUCAUUAUCUUUCCAAUUUCAUUUAAUCAAAUUGUCUUUUUUUAAAACUACUCUCUUAACUAAGAACCAAAUAAAAUUCGUAACCUUAAGAGGUAGUUUGAGUUUCCACAUAAAUUUAGUUGGAUAUAAACGGUUUUUGAUUCAUGACGUGUUGAUAGGAUGAUUG